CAUGCAAACGACAUACAAGAUCGUCGUGUAUUACCUCUCCCCCUCUCUCCACUGUGGCGGCCGCAAACGUUACAUCGAACGCGCGCUCGCUGUUGUUUAAAGUUCGCUUCCUUUCAAGUGUCUUGUGCCGUGCACGACAGACUUUUCAGCGAGGCAGAGGAGCAAAAAAAAAAGAAAAUGUUCCGCCGUGCCUUGGGAGCGUCUGCGGGGCGCAGCCUUUCUAGCAUCUCUGCAGCGGUGUCUCGCCGCAGCUACACGGAGCUGUCGCACAUGAAGUUUCCGGUGUAUUACGGCGCCGUCGGUGUCGUGCUCGGGUAUUUUGUAGUGAUGUGGAUUAUCUUCCUGCGCAUGGGCAGCAAGCACACCGCCCGCUCCGAGUUCAAGAACGACUACCUGCGUGUGUGGCGCCGCAGGCUCGGCACCGGCUACCAGUGGGCCGAUGCUUGGGGUCCGCAAAUGGACACCUUCUUUAAGGACCUUCCGGAGGAGGUCGAGUAAGUAGCGGAUGCGAGGCUUCAGAAUUAGCAGUUGUGCUCGGAUUCACGACAAGCGAUGACGACAGGAAGAAGACUUUCGUGUUGGCUAAUAUCGGAAGCAUUGCCGCUUCAGCAUCUAUCACGCGCAGACUCGCUGGUCUCUGUCUUCUCUGCACAACGCCUCACGUGUUGCCUCUGCGGCUAAGAAGGGCGCUGUAGGUGAUGACGGUGUGCGUGGUUAUGCCGUGGGCCAGCGAAUCCUUCAAGUGAUCCGUGCGCCGCCCUGAUCGUUCAUUCUUCUUCGCUUUCUGACGACUCCAUGAAAGGAAAACACACACGCACACACGUCGCUCGGUUUUGUCGCGGGUUCCUGACACCGGUGCGUCUGUGCAGAUGCGUGUGGGGUGAGGUGGUGUGCCUGCGUGCGUGUCUCCAGGAAAUGUGCGCAUGCGUCCUCUUCCUUGCCACGCGUCCGUGCGCACGGGCGCGCUCGCACACACGCUGUGGGUAGGAAGGGGGACAGAAGCAGGCCCCGCUCACUCGUGCUCUUCUUUUCGUGCUAGUAGACAGUAUAAAACAGAAACGUGCAAAAAGAGGGAGCGUGCGAGAGGUGCAAAGUUGGGGGGGGUGUUGGAGAGAGCCGUAGCCUUCGUUUAUUGCUGUUGUGUUGGCGUCGUUAGUGCUUGUGCAUUUUCUAUGAUGAUGUGGGCACAGUUGUGCGUGUGUCUGUGCGUGCGUGUGCGAGGGAGGUGCGGUGUGCGUCUCGGGGUUCCUCUCUUCUCCCUCCUUUGUUUUCCUCCACUUGCACAUCUUUCUCGGUUCAUGUAAAACGGAAAAAGAAAAAAAGCAGAAACCGUAAUAGUAGCCUUCUCAACAGCCAACGAUGCUUGUGUGUGUGUGUGAGCGAGCGUGUCUUUGCAUUUGCCUCCUCCUUGCGUAUGCCUGUCUUCCGGUGUAUACCUCCCUUUUCUUAUAGCGAACUGCGCCGACUCAAACAUGGACUCCGUUGCUGACGCACGUGCACAGCAAUUAUGCAGACACUUAAACCCCUCCCCCCGACGAGGAGGCGAGUAACGUCCACUCCUUUUUGUGCAUGCAACGCCGCGGACAUACGUAGACAUAGGCGCACGCACAGUAUGAUUGGGAGAGUUGUUGAGCUGGGUGUGGUUCUUUAAAGGUUUUCUCUCUUCGUGCUGUCUUUGUUUCCUCUCUAUGUUUCUCUCUCUCUCUCUCACUGUUUGCUUGUGUGUUUCGUCUUGGCGGCCUUCUCUCCCCACGUGUGACGCAACUCUUUCUCCUCCAUCUAUCACAAACAAAACGAAAAACGGCGCAGUAGCGACGCGAACGGACACAUCGCACCGCAUCACGUAAAAGAGGCACAAAGGGCAACGAAAAGGAAAGAAAAAGUGUGCCGCAUCACAGCACGUCGAGGAGGUGGUGGGCCGGCUCUGGAAGACGUGUCUCUCGCGGCUGUCGUGCUGCACUUCCUGGUCCGUAUCACGCUCCUCUUUCUUCUGUAAGGGCGCUGCGCGAUGCAUGCUCACGUGGGACAACUUCAGAGGCACAAACGAAAAGGAAUCGAAACGGAGACGUGUUGUACGCCCCCCCCCUCUCCCUCCCAGUCCACUGCACCCGCAGCGCCAUCAAGAAAUGGAGCAUGGCAGACACGGUGAAAGAAAGGUAGAGUGGUUGUGCUGAAAGCC
rnacentral:misc_RNA from 1 species